rnacentral:tRNA from 1 species
CCGGGAUAGCUCAGUUGGUAGAGCAGAGGACWKAAAAUCCUCGUGUC